AUCACUUCUUGGCCUUUUGUCUAAGAUCACGUGUAUGAUCUGUUCUUAUCCGCUUAACAUCGGGGAAGAUGCCAACUCGGGCGCUGACUGCAUGUAACAACUUCU
rnacentral:snRNA from 1 species